rnacentral:rRNA from 1 species
GACGAACGCUGGCGGCGUGCCUAAUACAUGCAAGUUGAGCGAUGAAGCUUGGUGCUUGCACCAAUUUGAAGAGCAGCGAACGGGUGAGUAACGCGUGGGGAAUCUGCCUUUGAGCGGGGGACAACAUUUGGAAGCGAAUGCUAAUACCGCAUAACAACUUUAAACAUAAGUUUUAAGUUUGAAAGAUGCAAUUGCAUCACUCAAAGAUGAUCCCGCGUUGUAUUAGCUAGUUGGUGAGGUAAAGGCUCACCAAGGCGAUGAUACAUAGCCGACCUGAGAGGGUGAUCGGCCACAUUGGGACUGAGACACGGCCCAAACUCCUACGGGAGGCAGCAGUAGGGAAUCUUCGGCAAUGGACGAAAGUCUGACCGAGCAACGCCGCGUGAGUGAAGAAGGUUGUCGGAUCGUAAAACUCUGUUGGUAGAGAAGAACGUUGGUGAGAGUGGAAAGCUCAUCAAGUGACGGUAACUACCCAGAAAGGGACGGCUAACUACGUG